GAUAUGACACAUAAUAUAUCAUAGCUCUUGGCAGCAGCUGUUAUGGCAAAAAUUGUCUCUUCCUUAUUUCUAUGUGUCUUCCUUACUUCUAUGCAGUUAUUAUAUGAUUUAUGACUUAUGUUCUGCAAUUAAUAUCUUAUGUUUUGUCUUACUGUAUGCAUUUGACAUUUCACCUAGAUUGUUCAAUGGUUGUCUCUGCCUGAUAGACUCUCAACUCUAGCUCCCAAACCCAAGGUCGGGGAGUUGUGUCUCUGUCUGUUGAGACUUGGUGCUCCUUUCUCACAGAUAGUUGGACGUCAGCAAUGCAGGUGUGAGAAUGUAAACAUCUUCACACACACUGUGACAGGGAGGAGAUGGUGCAUGUAAUUUGAUUGGGUUAGAAAGACAUUCCACCCUAGUCGGACAGAGAAGCUAAAAGGCAGAAGCAACUUUAGGAUCGUGGGCUCUUUGCAUCACACCUUCGUGGUGUGUGCACUGAUCUCCCCAGCUGGUUUUUGGUUUGUUGAUGUGCACGAUCAACAUCCAUGCUUUUUAUUUGCUUUCCCCAUUAUUUUUAUUUUCUUUAUUAUUUCAAUAAAUCACACAAAAGGACAACUCUCUCUCAUCUACGUCUUUAUGGAAAAUUUCCACCACAGAAAUUGGCGUUGUCGGCAGGAUCCCGCAGCAGGUCGUCUGGACGGUGUGACCAGGGACGAUAGUCCUGAGGACUAGGGUCGCUCAGCCUCCGAACCUCUACAGACAUUCAGAGCUGGGAGGACUGCUCACCCGUCUGGAUCGCCUCUGACGAGAUCCACGAACUCAGAUUCAAACUCAAAUCCUAAUUUGGCUCAGCUCGGUGAGAGAGAUUCCUUUUAAUUUGGGAAAAAACAAAAAGAAAAUAUAACUAGGAAAAGAGAUAAUAUUUCUAAAACGACUAUGUGGCUGAAAACAUCUAAAAUAUAAUAAUUAGGACCAAACAAUUUUUUUUUUUAAUUAAAAAACUUAAUAUUCGGGUAAAAUUAAUUAGGUCAAAGUGUGCCCUGGUGGUCGAGACGGUGGUUGCUAAGGGUUGGCUCGUGGAACCGAGCUUCCGUCUGUACUGAGGAUACAGACAUGUUUUUCUGAUCUGUGCGUGGUCCACACGUGGGGGACUGAGUAUAAAAGACGGCUUCUGAAAGAGGGAGUGCGUUUGCAGAGUGAAGUAUUUUCAAGAGACGAGGGCCCCGGGCCUAGAGGGGCCUAACGUUGAGGAAGUACUUCGUGAAAGACUCUGUCGCCAGAUCGGGUUGGUUCCCUUUUUACGGAGACGUCCGAUAAAAAGGCAUUUUGGGAAGGUUCCGGCCGGAACACAUAAAAAUCUAAGGCAGAAAACCGCCGGGACUCUGAAAGAUGGGUUCGGGGCGAUCUAAGUCUCCACCACCAGACUGCAGCAUUACAAAAGUAAAAGUAAUUAAAAGUAAAAAGUAAAUAUGGUUAUUAGUGCGUUUCAUGUUUCCAUGAGUGGGAAACUGGUUAUGGGUUCAAAAGGAGAAUCGCUUAGUGUAAAAGGACAUACGCACCUUAAAAGAAAAGUUAGAUACAAAAGAUGAGAUUUGAAAAAGCAAAACUAUCAAAACGAAACCCCUAAAAGAAACAAAAGAGAGAUGAGAGUAACAGAGAAAAAAAAAAAAAAAAAAAAAAAAAGGAGAUAACAACUCUGGGGAAGAGCACUCGCCACACACACACACACCACACACACACAUAUCAUGUCAAGAGCAAAUGCUCCCAUUCUUUCUGCUCUCUAUUCUAAUGCAGAACUGAGCGCGAUGAGGGUAAAUCCGGAUCUGGACUCCUUUCCCACCAUCAGCAGAAGAACCGAAGGAGAAGAAGCGCCUGACCAACAACCAGAACAGGGUGGAAGCUCUGACACCACAGCAGCUGGAGGACACAGACCACAGCAUGGACGCCUCACAGACUCCCACAACGUCUGCAGCCAUCACGUUCUGGGCUCAUCAGAUGAACCAGCUACUACAGACCCUGCACCAGCAUGAAAGGACUGUGUCUGAAGCUUCAGAGGAAACUGUCUUACAAGCGUGUGUGUCUGACAGACACCUGCUUAUGACAAUCAGCAAAGGAAAACAAGGACAGAGCAACAGCAGAAAAGACGUGCUCUGACACAGACACUGGUUGAAACAACAGGAGAGGCUUCAGACGUGAUCGGCCCAAAAGAGCUGCAACCGAGGAUCCAGGAAAGGUCUGUCAUCGAGGAACAACUGUCCCAUUGAAAUGCUUCACCCGCUGGCGCUCACAUCAGACUGAUGGUUGGGGAAGGAGGAAGGUGACGGUUCCUUUUCACGUGACGUACAAGACGGUACCGCAAACACACACACACAUUCAUACACGCAAUGAAGAAACACGCUUACAGCUGAUACACGCUCAAAUUCAUGUUCAUGCUUAUCUGCUUGCAAUGAAGAAUCGCUUUUUGCUCAAAAAAAAAAAUCCCACAGAGUGAUUUUAAAAAUAUGACAAACAGCUAAAUGACAACUGCUGCAUGACUUUACAGUCUGAUGGGUUUAAACUAUUUCAAUUUGCAACAAAUUCAGUAAUAAAAUCCUCCAUGUUUCUAAAAAUACUUGUGCACAAUAUAGGUUUGUCUGGCCAGACUGUAGAAAAACAAAACAGACUGUAGAAAAAACUAAAAACAGACUAUAGGAAGACUGAAACCGACUGAAACAGACUAUUAAUGACUAUUAAAGGGAAGACGACUAUUAGAGAGAAGUAAUAAUACUUACUGUACGUACCAGACUAUUAAAGAAAACUUAUUGUUUCACUGUCUUGUGCAACAUCUGACAGCAAGACACCUUAACAUUCAUUUUUGCUUUCAAAUUUAUGCCCAGUUAAAUUUUUAGGAAGAGAUCUCAUGUGUAGUUUAGGUAUUUGAUUGAUUUCCACUCCAGACGAAGUGCAGGUUACAUCUACAGACAUUCUAAAUAAUCCCUCUUUUGUUGGUGUUAACUUCAGCUCAGCUGUGCUCCUAUCAUUGGCUGCUGAGGGGGGGCUGUAACUGAGGCCCUCACACAGGCUGCUUCACAGCUUGUUUAUGAUUUCACACACACACUCAAACUGACCUCAACUUCCCUCUUUUGGGAUGAACACAGGUCUGCGCUUGCGAUUUCUUUUACUAACGAACAAAAAGAUUUUUGAUGUUUCUUCUACAGCUCCACACGUCCCUCUGUGAAAACAUGAUGGAGACAGAUGCAGGACGUGGGUCCUUUCGUGAACAGAUGUCAACGGGGUAGAGACUGGUGAACGACUUCUGACCCCAUGUGACGUAUUCACCUACUUUGCAUACUUUUAGAAAACUUCUUUUUAUUCUGCCGUCAUGUGCAGCAAACAGUAAACUGGGUACCUCCACAUUCUAAUGUCACACAUUACACGCUUUUGUUUUUAUUUUCAUUUUUCAGAGGACGCUCUGACCCAACACUCAGCCUUACAGGAAGCCCUGCUUCCCUGUGGCUCACACACAGACAUGAUGUAGGUUUGAUCAGAGGAUGUGAACCAGUGGUCAUCACACCUAAAUUUGACCACAGACCAUGUAAACAACAACACCCUCUGAAAGGAAGCCAUAGACAGCGUUACUGCAGACACCACUAAUCUACUGAAUCAUUGGAUGCUACAGGCCACAAAGAGAGCCUGUCUAAAUUACAGUUUGUUCAGACAAAGGUUAUUUUCUGGGUCAUUGUAAUUACAGCUGAUGGCAAAUCCAUCUCACCCAACAGAGUAAAGCAAUUUGAAACCUGCCUAAACCGUGCACGUAUAAACAGCUGAUGUUUUUUCUAGGUCUUCGUUCUUAUUGUAGGAACUUCAUUCCUAACUUUACUGUUUGAGGCCCCACUCAGGGUUCUGAUGCAGAUGUCUUCAUCGUCCACUUCUUGUCUCACGUGGACGUCUGAGGCUGAACAGGCGUUCACCGACCUCAAACUUGCUCUUCAGUCGGCUCCUACUUUGGGUCUACCUGACCCUAUGCGACCUUUCACCCAAACAGUGGAUGAGAAAUCAGGUUGUAUGACCUCUGUCCUUUUACAGGAUCACGGAGGACGUCCGCGCCCUGUAGCCUAUUUCUCUGCUAAGCUUGACCCAGUCGCUGCGGGGCUCCCACGAUGCCUCCGAGCAGUGGCUGCGGCAGAGAAAGCCGUGCUGGCAUCACGUGACAUUGUUGGCUAUUCUGGUGUCACCCUGCUGGUUCCUCAUGCCGUGUCUUUGAUCCUUCUGGAACAAAAAAACAUCACAUCUUUCUACAGCCCGAUGGCUUAGAUACAACACCAUCUUACUGGAAAUGCCAAACAUUACUGUCAAAAGGUGCAAUGUGCUUAAUCCAGCCACUUUGUUUCCAGGCCCUGACGAUGGCGAGCCUCACAACUGUGUUUCGGUCUUGAACCAGGUUUGCACUCCGCGCCCAGAUCUGUCGGAGGUGCCAAUUCCUAACUGUGACCUCGUUCUCUUUGUUGAUGGCUCCGCCUCUAGAGACCCUGCUUCGGGCCGCUGUCAGGUUGGAUAUGCAGUCUGCACCUCUCAUACUGUUUUACAGUCUGGCGCUUUGCCAGGACAUUACUCUGCUUAGGCUGCGGAGUUGAUCGCACCGACCGAAGCCUGUAAAUUGGCUGAAGGGAAGUCUGCUACUAUCUACACAGACUCCAGAUACGCUUUUGGCGUCACACAUGACUUUGGUGCUCUGUGGAAACACAGAAGGUUUUUGAAAUCUGAUGGCAAACCUAUCUUGCAUCAUGAUAAGGUUGCUGAUCUGCUCGACGCAAUUCUGUUACCAGCUGCAAUUGCUGUAUGUGAAAGCGGCUCUGCCCAAACAGGCGACAGAACCACUGCACAUCAUUCAACCAGGAGACUGGGUGAUCAUUAAGGAGCUUCGCAGGAAGCACUGGAACUCAAAGCGGUGGCAAGGUCCCUUCCAAGUCCUUCUGACGACCAACACAGCUGUGCAGAUCACAGAAAGAGCGACUUGGAUCCACUCCAGCCACUCCAGGAAGGUCCUGGAUCCAACAGACGACCCUCCAUCUACAUCUACACCACAGAGAAAACCACCACUGACAUAAAGAAUUGAGAAGGACGACCCUCGCUGUGCUCACACACGCACUGAGGCGAGGCUGCGUUGACCGUUCAGCUAAAGGUGCGAGCCAAGCGCCGCCUGAAGCUGCGCCGGUGAAUCACACUAUCAGACCAUACAUCUACACACACGUUCCUGAGAAAACACACACACGAGCAGCCUUGAGUUGCCGACGCUGGACGACGUGUAGACUCUUCACAUCACGGGAGUGACAGUGACUCAGACGACAUUGGGAGGAAACCUGGCGGUGAUAACGAAUCCCAAGUGUCUCUGUGAUCAGCUGAUCACAACCUGAAGAACUCCAACGAACUGGCAAUACAUCAACACACAGGUUGGAAACAAUCUAACGCUACUGUUCAACAGGACGAAGCAGAUUGUUACGAGACAUCAAUUGUAACCUCGUUGCGUUAGACAUUUUAUGUUACUCUGAAUAUUGCCUUUAUCAUAUGAUGUUUCCAUGUAACUUCACACACUACUUUUGAAGAAGAAAAUUUCACAACACUGAGUUUAAAUAUCCUGAAGUUGACUUGGUGUUUAAUUUGCUCACAAUCACUUUAUUCACUGCUACAAAGACUUUUUAUCCUUUCAUCUACAGAUGAAAGACAACACAAGCGGAAAUAUGCAUCAUCAUUCUGGUUAAAUCCCUGGAUCUCGUAUUCAUUCUAGACGCAAAUGUACAAUUACAGAUCCGAAAGCAUGAAAUCUAUCUUAAGAUUAUAUGAUACAGAACCCCAUCGGAAACCUAUGGCUAUCAUAAAUUAAUUGUCUUUAUUACAUUACAAUCGAAUGGCCCUAGACAUGUUGUUAGCAGAGAAAAGAGACGGUUGUGUUAUGUUUGGAGACGCAUGUUGUACUUACAUCCUGAAUAACACUGAUUCUAAUGGUAUUGUGGCGAAGGCGCUACACGGCCUUCAGAGUCUCUGCUAACUCUGGUAUAGGUUCUUCCUCUUGGAAUUGGCUAGACGAAAUGUCUGGAAAAUGGAAAUCUGUUCUCAUGUCCGCAGCUGUUUCCUUUAUCAUUGAGAUGGCUGUGAUUCUCUUGUUUGGUUUUUGCGUUAUCACACUGGUUAGAGGUCUCAUCAUGCGUGCGACCCCAGCAACACUCUCGUAUCAAAUGACACAAUGCACUAUGUUCAAAAACCCCAACUCUAAUUCACUUAAUGACUUUGACGAUGGUCUUAGGCUAUCUGACCACGAAAUAUAAUCUGAUACGAAUAUGAUUAUGGGCUUAUUUUCUUCACAUGCCGAUACAGAAGUUAUUCUUGUAUAACUACCCACCAAAAACAGCUCCCAACCUUUUAUCCCUAAGUUACUUGCAUUUUAUGUGAAGGUGUAUUUUUGAAUUUUGACUUAAUACACUUAUUGUUUCAUUUGCAAGGAUCUUUUAUUAUUACAGAAUGUGAUGUUGACAAUUUUUAUCCUUUAAUGGUUUGAUUAAUGUGUAAUCAAAAGGGGGGAGUGUUAUGGCAAAAAUUGUCUCUUCCUUAUUUCUAUGUGUCUUCCUUACUUCUAUGCAGUUAUUAUAUGAUUUAUGACUUAUGUUCUGCAAUUAAUAUCUUAUGUUUUGUCUUACUGUAUGCAUUUGACAUUUCACCUAGAUUGUUCAAUGGUUGUCUCUGCCUGAUAGACUCUCAACUCUAGCUCCCAAACCCAAGGUCGGGGAGUUGUGUCUCUGUCUGUUGAGACUUGGUGCUCCUUUCUCACAGAUAGUUGGACGUCAGCAAUGCAGGUGUGAGAAUGUAAACAUCUUCACACACACUGUGACAGGGAGGAGAUGGUGCAUGUAAUUUGAUUGGGUUAGAAAGACAUUCCACCCUAGUCGGACAGAGAAGCUAAAAGGCAGAAGCAACUUUAGGAUCGUGGGCUCUUUGCAUCACACCUUCGUGGUGUGUGCACUGAUCUCCCCAGCUGGUUUUUGGUUUGUUGAUGUGCACGAUCAACAUCCAUGCUUUUUAUUUGCUUUCCCCAUUAUUUUUAUUUUCUUUAUUAUUUCAAUAAAUCACACAAAAGGACAA